GUGUCAGCAGCCGCGGUAAGACAGGGGUCUCGAGCGUUAAUCGGAAUCACUGGGCUUAAAGGGUGCGUAGGCGGCCUCGUAAGUGCUUUGUGAAAGCCCUCGGCUCAACCGAGGAACUGCAGGGCAUACUGCGAGGCUUGAGGAAGCUAGAGGCUGGUAGAACGAUAGGUGGAGCGGUGGAAUGCGUAGAUAUCUAUCGGAAUGCCGAAAGUGAAGACAGCCAGCUGGGGCUUUCCUGACGCUCAGGCACGAAAGCGUGGGGAGCAAACCGGAUUAGAAACCCUCGUAGUCC
rnacentral:rRNA from 1 species